rnacentral:lncRNA from 1 species
AGUAAAAUAAAUCUAAAGAAUUCACUAUCAAAUUUGUAUUAGAAAGCUGAAAAAUAUGCUCAAUUUUAAAAUAAAAAUUUUAGUUAUGAAGAUAAAUAAUAUUUUAAAUAUUUAUAUGAGAGAUUUUAUAAUGUUCAUGAUGAUCUUGAUGCCCAGCAUCGGCAACAAUAGUGGGACUAUCAUUUAUUGGUUGAAAGGUAUAAAAAACUAACGAAUGACUAUAGUGGACUCAGAGGUAGAUAGAAAGAUAUA